rnacentral:rRNA from 1 species
GAAUUCGCCCUUCAUGCAAGUCGAACGGAAAUCUUUUAGAGCAAUCUUUUAGAUUUUAGUGGCGAACGGGUGAGUAACACGUAAGCAACCUGCCUUUAAGACGAGAAUAACAAUUGGAAACAGUUGCUAAGGCUGGAUAGGAAAUAAAAAGGCAUCUUUUUAUUUUUAAAAGACCUUCUUCGGAGGGUAUGCUUAAAGAGGGGCUUGCGUCACAUUAGUUAGUUGGUAGGGUAAUGGCCUACCAAGACGAUGAUGUGUAGCUGGACUGAGAGGUUGAACAGCCACAUUGGGACUGAGACACGGCCCAAACUCCUACGGGAGGCAGCAGUAGGGAAUUUUCGGCAAUGGAGGAAACUCUGACCGAGCAACGCCGCGUGAACGACGAAGUACUUCGGUAUGUAAAGUUCUUUUAUUGAAGAAGAAACGAUAGUGGAAAAACUAUCUUGACGUUAUUCAAUGAAUAAGCCCCGGCUAACUAUGUGCCAGCAGCCGCGGUAAUACAUAGGGGGCGAGCGUUAUCCGGAAUUAUUGGGCGUAAAGGGUGCGUAGGCGGUUUAAUAAGUCUCUAGUUUAAUUUCAACGCUUAACGUUGUCCUGCUAGAGAAACUGUUUGACUAGAGUGAGAUAGAGGUAAGCGGAAUUCCAUGUGUAGCGGUAAAAUGUGUAAAUAUAUGGAGGAACACCAGAGGCGUAGGCGGCUUACUGGGUCUUUACUGACGCUGAUGCACGAAAGCGUGGGGAGCAAACAGGAUUAGAUACCCUGGUAGUCCACGCCGUAAACUAUGAGUACUAAGUGUCGGGGUUAAACUCGGUACUGAAGUUAACACAUUAAGUACUCCGCCUGAGUAGUACGUACGCAAGUAUGAAACCUAAAGGAAUUGACGGGAUCCCGCACAAGCGGUGGAUCAUGUUGUUUAAUUCGAAGAU